rnacentral:tRNA from 1 species
UUAGUUAAAGCCAAAAAGAGGCAUUUCAUUGUUAAUGAAAAAAUUGAUUAAAUAAUCUAACUAAA